rnacentral:rRNA from 1 species
GAACGAUGAUAGAGAGCUUGCUUUCUUGAUUAGUGGCGCACGGGUGAGUAAUGCAUAGAUAAUGUGCCCCUUAGUUCGGGAUAGCCACUGGAAACGGUGAUUAAUACCGGAUACUCCUUCUUGUUAUAAGACAAGUCGGGAAAGUUUUUCGCUAAGGGAUCAGUCUAUGUUCCAUCAGCUUGUUGGUGAGGUAAUGGCUCACCAAGGCUAUGACGGAUAUCUGGUUUGAGAGGAUGAUCAGACACACUGGAACUGAGACACGGUCCAGACUCCUACGGGAGGCAGCAGUGAGGAAUAUUGCACAAUGGAGGAAACUCUGAUGCAGCAACGCCGCGUGGAGGAUGACGCAUUUCGGUGUGUAAACUCCUUUUAUUAGGGAAGAUAAUGACGGUACCUAAUGAAUAAGCACCGGCUAACUCCGUGCCAGCAGCCGCGGUAAUACGGAGGGUGCAAGCGUUACUCGGAAUCACUGGGCGUAAAGGGUGCGUAGGCUGGCUUUUAAGUCAGAUGUGAAAUCCAAUGGCUCAACCAUUGAACUGCAUUUGAAACUGAAAGCCUAGAGUUCAGAAGGGGCAGAUGGAAUUAGUGGUGUAGGGGUAAAAUCCGUAGAUAUCACUAGGAAUAUCAAAAGCGAAGGCGAUCUGCUGGGA